AGUGAACGCUGGCGGUAGGCCUAACACAUGCAAGUCGAACGGCAGCACAGUAAGAGCUUGCUCUUACGGGUGGCGAGUGGCGGACGGGUGAGGAAUACAUCGGAAUCUACUUUUUCGUGGGGGAUAACGUAGGGAAACUUACGCUAAUACCGCAUACGACCUACGGGUGAAAGCAGGGGAUCUUCGGACCUUGCGCGAUUGAAUGAGCCGAUGUCGGAUUAGCUAGUUGGCGGGGUAAAGGCCCACCAAGGCGACGAUCCGUAGCUGGUCUGAGAGGAUGAUCAGCCACACUGGAACUGAGACACGGUCCAGAACCCUACGGGAGGCAGCAGUGGGGAAUAUUGGACAAUGGGCGCAAGCCUGAUCCAGCAUACCGCGUGGGUGAAGAAGGCCUUCGGGUUGUAAAGCCCUUUUGUUGGGAAAGAAAAGCAGCAGGUUAAUACCCCGCUGUUCUGACGGUACCCAAAGAAUAAGCACCGGCUAACUUCGUG
rnacentral:rRNA from 1 species